rnacentral:misc_RNA from 1 species
GAAAUGCGAUAAGUAAUGUGAAUUGCAGAAUUCAGUGAAUCAUCGAAUCUUUGAACGCACAUUGCGCCCGCCAGUAUUCUGGCGGGCAUGCCUGUUCGAGCGUCAUUUCAACCAUCAAGCCCCAGGGCUUGUGUUGGGGACCUGCGGCUGCCGCAGGCCCCGAAAACCAGUGGCGGGCUCGCUGUCACACCGGGCGUAGUAGAUUUUUCGUCUCGCCCAGGGCGUGCUGCGGGUUCCGGCCGUUAAAAAGCCUCUCUUUUAACCCAAGGUUGACCUCGGAUCAGGUAGGAAGACCCGCUGAACUUAAGC